rnacentral:rRNA from 1 species
AACGCUAGCUACAGGCUUAACACAUGCAAGUCGAGGGGCAGCAUGAUUGAAGCUUGCUUCAAUCGAUGGCGACCGGCGCACGGGUGAGUAACACGUAUCCAACCUGCCGAUGACUCUGGGAUAGCCUUUCGAAAGAAAGAUUAAUACCGGAUGGCAUAAUUCUUCCGCAUGGUAGAAUUAUUAAAGAAUUUCGGUCGUCGAUGGGGAUGCGUUCCAUUAGGUUGUUGGCGGGGUAACGGCCCACCAAGCCAUCGAUGGAUAGGGGUUCUGAGAGGAAGGUCCCCCACAUUGGAACUGAGACACGGUCCAAACUCCUACGGGAGGCAGCAGUGAGGAAUAUUGGUCAAUGGACGAGAGUCUGAACCAGCCAAGUAGCGUGAAGGAUGACUGCCCUAUGGGUUGUAAACUUCUUUUAUACGGGAAUAAAGUGCAGUAUGCAUGCUGUUUUGUAUGUACCGUAUGAAUAGGGAUCGGCUAACUCCGUGCCAGCAGCCGCGGUAAUACGGAGGAUCCGAGCGUUAUCCGGAUUUAUUGGGUUUAAAGGGAGCGUAGGCGGAUGCUUUAGUCAGUUGUGAAAGUUUGCGGCUCAACCGUAAAAUUGCAGUUGAUACUGGGUGUCUUGAGUACAGUAGAGGUAGGCGGAAUUCGUGGUGUAGCGGUGAAAUGCUUAGAUAUCACGAAGAACUCCGAUUG